rnacentral:rRNA from 1 species
UUAAAUGAAUUGACGGGGCCGCACAAGCGGUGGAGCAUGUGGUUAAUUCGAAGCAACGCGAAGAACCUUACCAGGUCUUGACAUCCCCUGACAACCCGAGAGAUCGGGCGUUCCCCCUUCGGGGGGACAGGGUGACAGGUGGUGCAUGGUUGUCGUCAGCUCGUGUCGUGAGAUGUUGGGUUAAGUCCCGCAACGAGCGCAACCCUCGACCUUAGUUGCCAGCAUUCAGUUGGGCACUCUAAGGUGACUGCCGGCUAAAAGUCGGAGGAAGGUGGGGAUGACGUCAAAUCAUCAUGCCCCUUAUGACCUGGGCUACACACGUGCUACAAUGGGCGGUACAAAGGGUCGCGAACCCGCGAGGGGGAGCCAAUCCCAAAAAGCCGCUCUCAGUUCGGAUUGCAGGCUGCAACUCGCCUGCAUGAAGCCGGAAUCGCUAGUAAUCGCGGAUCAGCAUGCCGCGGUGAAUACGUUCCCGGGCCUU